rnacentral:rRNA from 1 species
GCAGUCGAGCGGCAGCGGAAGUAGCUUGCUACUUUGCCGGCGAGCGGCGGACGGGUGAGUAAUGUCUGGGAAACUGCCUGAUGGAGGGGGAUAACUACUGGAAACGGUAGCUAAUACCGCAUAACGUCGCAAGACCAAAGAGGGGGACCUUCGGGCCUCUUGCCAUCAGAUGUGCCCAGAUGGGAUUAGCUAGUAGGUGGGGUAACGGCUCACCUAGGCGACGAUCCCUAGCUGGUCUGAGAGGAUGACCAGCCACACUGGAACUGAGACACGGUCCAGACUCCUACGGGAGGCAGCAGUGGGGAAUAUUGCACAAUGGGCGCAAGCCUGAUGCAGCCAUGCCGCGUGUAUGAAGAAGGCCUUCGGGUUGUAAAGUACUUUCAGCGGGGAGGAAGGCGUUGAGGUUAAUAACCUCAGCGAUUGACGUUACCCGCAGAAGAAGCACCGGCUAACUCCGUGCCAGCAGCCGCGGUAAUACGGAGGGUGCAAGCGUUAAUCGGAAUUACUGGGCGUAAAGCGCACGCAGGCGGUCUGUCAAGUCGGAUGUGAAAUCCCCGGGCUCAACCUGGGAACUGCAUUCGAAACUGGCAGGCUAGAGUCUUGUAGAGGGGGGUAGAAUUCCAGGUGUAGCGGUGAAAUGCGUAGAGAUCUGGAGGAAUACCGGUGGCGAAGGCGGCCCCCUGGACAAAGACUGACGCUCAGGUGCGAAAGCGUGGGGAGCAAACAGGAUUAGAUACCCUGGUAGUCCACGCCGUAAACGAUGUCGACUUGGAGGUUGUGCCCUUGAGGCGUGGCUUCCGGAGCUAACGCGUUAAGUCGACCGCCUGGGGAGUACGGCCGCAAGGUUAAAACUCAAAUGAAUUGACGGGGGCCCGCACAAGCGGUGGAGCAUGUGGUUUAAUUCGAUGCAACGCGAAGAACCUUACCUACUCUUGACAUCCAGAGAACUUUCCAGAGAUGGAUUGGUGCCUUCGGGAACUCUGAGACAGGUGCUGCAUGGCUGUCGUCAGCUCGUGUUGUGAAAUGUUGGGUUAAGUCCCGCAACGAGCGCAACCCUUAUCCUUUGUUGCCAGCGGUUCGGCCGGGAACUCAAAGGAGACUGCCAGUGAUAAACUGGAGGAAGGUGGGGAUAACGUCAAGUCAUCAUGGCCCUUACGAGUAGGGCUACACACGUGCUACAAUGGCGCAUACAAAGAGAAGCGACCUCGCGAGAGCAAGCGGACCUCAUAAAGUGCGUCGUAGUCCGGAUUGGAGUCUGCAACUCGACUCCAUGAAGUCGGAAUCGCUAGUA